UACGUAGGGUGCAAGCGUUGUCCGGAAUUAUUGGGCGUAAAGAGCUUGUAGGCGGUUUGUCGCGUCUGCUGUGAAAUCUCAAGGCUCAACCUUGAGCUUGCAGUGGGUACGGGCAGACUAGAGUGUGGUAGGGGAGACUGGAAUUCCUGGUGUAGCGGUGAAAUGCGCAGAUAUCAGGAGGAACACCGAUGGCGAAGGCAGGUCUCCUGGGCCAACUA
rnacentral:rRNA from 1 species